rnacentral:rRNA from 1 species
UGGGGAAUAUUGCACAAUGGGCGAAAGCCUGAUGCAGCGACGCCGCGUGAGGGAUGACGGCCUUCGGGUUGUAAACCUCUUUCAGUAGGGACGAAGCGCAAGUGACGGUACCUGCAGAAGAAGCACCGGCUAACUACGUGCCAGCAGCCGCGGUAAUACGUAGGGUGCGAGCGUUGUCCGGAAUUACUGGGCGUAAAGAGCUCGUAGGCGGUUUGUCACGUCGUCUGUGAAAUCCUAGGGCUUAACCCUGGACGUGCAGGCGAUACGGGCUGACUUGAGUACUACAGGGGAGACUGGAAUUGCUUGUGUAGCGGGAGAAUGCACAGAUAUCAGGAAGAACACCGAUGGCGAAGGCAGGUCUCUGGGUAGUAACUGACGCUGAGGAGCGAAAGCAUGGGUGGCGAACAGG